GACGUGGCCGGAACUAAAGUGCCGGGCUUGACUAUGAGUACGCUAUAUGACGGCCAGGUUUGUGUGUUGCGCUUCGUGGGCACCCGUCUGCUCUGCUUCCCCUCGCCUUUGAAGAGAACAGUCACCACACUCAUGGCAGGGAUUUUGCGCUCAAUAGUUCAGAAGCCCCCAGGUGGACUCCAAACUGUAACAAAAGGUGUGGAGUCUCUCAUUUGUACAGAUUGGAUUCGUCACAAAUUUACCAAGUCAAGAAUUCCAGAUAAAGUAUUUCAGCCUUCACCUGCAGAUCAUGAAAAAUAUGGUGGGGAUCCACAGCACCCUCAUAAACUGCAUAUUGUUACCAGAAUAAAGAGUACAAAAAGACGUCCAUAUUGGGAAAAAGAUAUAAUAAAGAUGCUUGGAUUAGAAAAAGCACAUACUCCUCAAGUUCACAAGAAUAUACCUUCAGUGAAUGCAAAACUGAAAGUGGUUAAACAUUUGAUAAGAAUCCAGCCCCUGAAGUUGCCACAAGGACUUCCAGCGGAAGAGGACAUGUCUAACACGUGUCUCAAGAGCACUGGGGAAUUAGUGGUGCGGUGGCAUCUAAACCCUGUAGAUCAGGAAGCAGUUAAGUCCUAAUGCCAGAGCAGUUUCAUAUUUAAAAAUAAGCAAGCCAUAAGUCCAGCCAAACUCAAGGAAGAGGGGAAUUACACAAAUGUAUGACUGCCAAGAGGCAAGGAUCCUGGGGGCCUCCUUAAAGAUUACCUGCAAGCAUGUAUUUGAGAGAGAGAGUGUGCGCUCACACAAGAGAGAGCAGGAGAGGGAUAGAGAGAAUCUCAAGCAGGCUCUGUGCUGGGGCCCAACACUGGGGCUCAAUGAACCGUGGAAAUCAUGAACUGUGAAAUCAUGAAAUCAUGGCCUGAAAUCAAGAGUUGCAUGUUCAACUGACUGAGUCACCCAGCUGUUUCUGAGAAUUCUCCCAGCAAGACCCUCCCAUGAUGAUGGCCACAAUGAGUGAUGGGCCCACAGGAAACCAUUUUGCAACCUCUUGGAUAUUGGCUUUGUAGGCUAAUAUCCUUUGAAGAUCAUUGCUGCAAUCAUUUUGGAAGCAAUAAUCUCUAAGGACAGGAGGAGAGAGAAGGUGCUGUCUCUAAAAUGGAACAUGCCUUCCUGAGGGAGAGAGCACAGUCCACUGGGGUGAGGAAAAGAAGUAUUGGAAAUUUUAUUUCUAUUUGUUUUUUCAUCUAAUCCCUCAAAUUUAUGUUUUUGUGUAUAUUUCAUAAUGUCAGAAUAAAGUGUAUGUGAAAAAUGA